rnacentral:rRNA from 1 species
CAGCAGCCGCGGUAAUACGGAGGAUCCGAGCGUUAUCCGGAUNUAUUGGGUNUAAAGGGAGCGUAGAUGGAUGUUUAAGUCAGUNGUGAAAGUNUGCGGCUCAACCGUAAAAUNGCAGUUGAUACUGGAUAUCUUGAGUGCAGUUGAGGCAGGCGGAAUUCGUGGUGUAGCGGUGAAAUGCUUAGAUAUCACGAAGAACUCCGAUUGCGAAGGCAGCUCACUGGACUGCAACUGACACUGAUGCUCGAAAGUGUGGGUAUCAAACAGGAUUAGAUACCCUGGUAGUCCACACAGUAAACGAUGAAUACUCGCUGUUUGCGAUAUACAGUAAGCGGCCAAGCGAAAGCGUUAAGUAUUCCACCUGGGGAGU